CCUACGGGUGGCAGCAGUGGGGAAUAUUGGGCAAUGGACGCAAGUCUGACCCAGCAACGCCGCGUGAAGGAAGAAGGCUUUCGGGUUGUAAACUUCUUUUAAGGGAGAAGAGCAGAAGACGGUACCCCUUGAAUCAGCCACUGCUAACUACGUGCCAGCAGCCGCGGUCAUACGGAGGUGGCAAGCGUAGUCCGGAUUUACGGGGGGUAAAGGGCGUGGAGCCGGAGAGACAAGUAAGUUGUGAAAUCCAAGGGCUCAACCCGUGAACUGCAUUUGAAACUGUUUCCCUGGAGUGUCGGAGAGGUAAUUGGAAUUCCUAGUGUAGCGGUAAAAUGCGUAGAUAUUAGGAAGAACACCAGUGGCGAAGGCGGAUUACUGGACGAUAACUGACGGUGAGGCGCGAAAGCGUGGGGAGCAAACAGGAUUAGAUACCCUAGUAGUC
rnacentral:rRNA from 1 species